CUCUCCCUCUUGGUUCUUUGCUAGUCACGCUCCUCUCCAUGGGCGCCCAGGUCUCUUCCCCAUGGUGGCAGAUCCCAUGCCAAGCUCGCCCCAUGUCCGAACUCCGAAGGCUGUCGUCUCUACUCCUCUCCCCAUGGCGACUUCGCCUUCACUGCUUCUAUUUCUUCCCCAGCAGCAUCCCUCCUUGUCUCUAUGCGAGCAGCAGCACGCCGGAGCAGUCCAAUGUCCACGACGCACGCCAUGUGUUCGACGGGAGGAUUGACCAGAGUUCAUCCUCGUUCUUCAUCCGUGACACCGCAAGUUUUUGCACGACCAUGAGGUUAUGUUCUUACUUGGGUGUUUUGUUUCUCGGCGUCGCUUAUAAGAAAUUAAUCAUGUGUAUAUUUAUGUGUGGUUGUGUGGAGCGAAUCCCGGAUGUUGGGUGAAAGCAAGCGAGAUCCGGGUGGGGCUUGACAGGUGUCCGAUAGAAAGACUGAACCCAAAGCCAUCGCCGUGUUUGUGGACGCCGCUUUGAGUUUAGUUGUGGUACGCUAGAUGAUUAUGCGAGCUGAAGGACAUGGAUCAGAGCGAACCAUGAGAUGGUAUUGGAGGAUUAAUCUUGUUGAUGCAUCAAGCCAGCACCAGAAUGGAAGAUACUUACCAAGUGGUCGUCAAUUAACAACACUAACAUAGUGUUUAUCCCAGGCAAGCCCCGGUGCAUUUGCCACCUCCUUCUAUUUAAAAAACUUUUAUCACUUACCUGCUGCAUUAGGUGAUAGGAGUUGUGUGAAUAAACAAUUGAUGCAUUACCAUUCCUUGGAAUUUGAUUAUCCUC